AGAGUUUGAUCCUGGCUCAGGACGAACGCUGGCGGCGUGCUUAACACAUGCAAGUCGAGCGGUGAACCGAGCUUGCUCGGGGAUCAGCGGCGAACGGGUGAGUAACACGUGGGCAACCUGCCCUCAGCUCUGGGAUAACUCCGGGAAACCGGGGCUAAUACCGGAUACGACUUCCUGCGGCAUCUUGGGAAGUGGAAAGUUUUUCGGCUGAGGAUGGGCCCGCGGCCUAUCAGCUUGUUGGUGGGGUAAUGGCCCACCAAGGCGACGACGGGUAGCCGGCCUGAGAGGGCGACCGGCCACACUGGGACUGAGACACGGCCCAGACUCCUACGGGAGGCAGCAGUGGGGAAUAUUGCGCAAUGGGCGAAAGCCCGACGCAGCGACGCCGCGUGAGGGAUGAAGGCCUUCGGGUUGUAAACCUCUUUCAGCAGGGACGAAGCGAAAGUGACGGUACCUGCAGAAGAAGCACCGGCCAACUACGUGCCAGCAGCCGCGGUAAUACGUAGGGUGCAAGCGUUGUCCGGAAUUAUUGGGCGUAAAGAGCUCGUAGGCGGUUUGUCGCGUCGGCUGUGAAAACUCGGGGCUCAACCCCGAGCCUGCAGUCGAUACGGGCAGACUANAGUGCUGUANGGGAGACUGGAAUUCCUGGUGUAGCGGUGAAAUGCGCAGAUACCAGGAGGAACACCGGUGGCGAAGGCGGGUCUCUGGGCAGUAACUGACGCUGAGGAGCGAAAGCGUGGGGAGCGAACAGGAUUAGAUACCCUGGUAGUCCACGCCGUAAACGGUGGGUGCUAGGUGUAGGGGGUAUUCCACGCCCUCUGUGCCGCAGCUAACGCAUUAAGCACCCCGCCUGGGGAGUACGGCUGCAAGGCUAAAACUCAAAGGAAUUGACGGGGGCCCGCACAAGCAGCGGAGCAUGUGGCUUAAUUCGACGCAACGCGAAGAACCUUACCAAGGCUUGACAUACACCGAAAACUCAUAGAGAUAUGGGGUCCGCAAGGGCGGUGUACAGGUGGUGCAUGGUUGUCGUCAGCUCGUGUCGUGAGAUGUUGGGUUAAGUCCCGCAACGAGCGCAACCCUCGUUCUAUGUUGCCAGCGCGUCAUGGCGGGGACUCAUAGGAGACUGCCGGGGUCAACUCGGAGGAAGGUGGGGACGACGUCAAAUCAUCAUGCCCCUUAUGUCUUGGGCUGCACACAUGCUACAAUGGCCGGUACAAAGGGCUGCUAAACCGCGAGGUGGAGCGAAUCCCAAAAAGCCGGUCUCAGUUCGGAUUGGGGUCUGCAACUCGACCCCAUGAAGUCGGAGUUGCUAGUAAUCGCAGAUCAGCAACGCUGCGGUGAAUACGUUCCCGGGCCUUGCACACACCGCCCGUC
rnacentral:rRNA from 1 species